AUUAUUUUGACAGAUUAAAUGUAAUAAAUUUAAAAUUUAUUUAUGUAUUUUAAAAUACAAGUAAUA
rnacentral:tRNA from 1 species